rnacentral:rRNA from 1 species
GAUGAACGCUGGCGGCGUGCCUAAUACAUGCAAGUCGAGCGAACGGACGAGAAGCUUGCUUCUCUGAUGUUAGCGGCGGACGGGUGAGUAACACGUGGAUAACCUACCUAUAAGACUGGGAAAACUUCGGGAAACCGGAUCUAAUACCGGAUGAUAUUUUGAACCGCAUGGUUCAAAAGUGAAAGACGGUCUUGCUGUCACUUAUAGAUGGAUCCGCGCUGCAUUAGCUAGUUGGUAAGGUAACGGCUUACCAAGGCAACGAUGCAUAGCCGACCUGAGAGGGUGAUCGGCCACACUGGAACUGAGACACGGUCCAGACUCCUACGGGAGGCAGCAGUAGGGAAUCUUCCGCAAUGGGCGAAAGCCUGACGGAGCAACGCCGCGUGAGUGAUGAAGGUCUUCGGAUCGUAAAACUCUGUUAUUAGGGAAGAACAUAUGUGUAAGUAACUGUGCACAUCUUGACGGUACCUAAUCAGAAAGCCACGGCUAACUACGUG